AUUCAAAGAUUUUUUUAAUGCAGGGGGACAUUUGCUAUAUUAAGAUCACACAUGUGUCUCCAGACCUAAUUCUUUCUCUAGGUCUGGUUUUAUAAAGACUGAUGAUAAAC
rnacentral:snoRNA from 3 species